rnacentral:pre_miRNA from 1 species
AUUUUAGUGUAAGUAUUUCCCACGCAAUAUUUGGGACAUAUUUAUGCUAAAA